AACGAACGCUGGCGGCAUGCUUAACACAUGCAAGUCGAACGGUUUUAUGGUGCUUGCACCAUGGAAUAGUGGCAGACGGGUGAGUAACGCGUGGGAACGUACCUUAAGGUUCGGAAUAACUGUUGGAAACGGCAGCUAAUACUGGAUGUGCCCGAGAGGGGAAAGAUUUAUUGCCUUAAGAGCGGCCCGCGUUAGAUUAGGUAGUUGGUAGGGUAAAGGCCUACCAAGCCGAUGAUCUAUAGCUGGUUUGAGAAGAUGAUCAGCCACACUGGGACUGAGACACGGUCCAGACUCCUACGGGAGGCAGCAGUGGGGAAUUUUGGACAAUGGGGGCAACCCUGAUCCAGCAAUGCCGCGUGAGUGAAGAAGGCCUUCGGGUU
rnacentral:rRNA from 1 species